rnacentral:rRNA from 1 species
UACGGAGGGUGCAAGCGUUAAUCGGAAUUACUGGGCGUAAAGAGUGCGCAGGUUGUUAAUUAAGUUAUCUGUGAAAUCCCUGGGCUCAACCUGGGCAGGUCAGAUAAUACUGGUUGACUCGAGUAUGGGAGAGGGUAGUGGAAUUUCCGGUGUAGCGGUGAAAUGCGUAGAGAUCGGAAGGAACACCAGUGGCGAAGGCGGCUACCUGGCCUAAUACUGACACUGAGGCACGAAAGCUAGGGUAGCGAACGGG